rnacentral:lncRNA from 1 species
GGGUUGUGAUAAUUUAUUUUUGUAUGAAAAUGUGCCCUUAUGAAUCUUGGUCAACUUUUUAAAGCAUUAAAUACAUUAUAUAGUCGAAAGAAUGGAACGAUUUAUGGUCAUGUAACCUGAUAAAGUCGGGUUCACAUGAACAAUGACUGAAUCAGGGGCAGCUGUCAAUCGUCUAUUAAUGUCGGUCUGUUUUCCCUUCAAAGAGUGAGCAUAUACAAUGGAAAACUGGUGAGGAGCC